GAAUCUGGGAGGACCAUCUCCUAAGGCUAAAUACUCUCUAGUGACCGAUAGUGAACCAGUACCGUGAGGGAAAGGUGAAAAGCACCCCGGAAGGGGAGUGAAAUAGAACCUGAAACCGUGUGCUUACAAGUAGUCAGAGCCCGUUAAUGGGUGAUGGCGUGCCUUUUGUAGAAUGAACCGGCGAGUUACGAUUUGAUGCAAGGUUAAGCAGUAAAUGUGGAGCCGUAGCGAAAGCGAGUCUGAAUAGGGCGUUUAGUAUUUGGUCGUAGACCCGAAACCAGGUGAUCUACCCUUGGUCAGGUUGAAGUUCAGGUAACACUGAAUGGAGGACCGAACCGACUUACGUUGAAAAGUGAGCGGAUGAACUGAGGGUAGCGGAGAAAUUCCAAUCGAACCUGGAGAUAGCUGGUUCUCUCCGAAAUAGCUUUAGGGCUAGCCUCAAGUGAUGAUUAUUGGAGGUAGAGCACUGUUUGGACGAGGGGCCCCUCUCGGGUUACCGAAUUCAGACAAACUCCGAAUGCCAAUUAAUUUAACUUGGGAGUCAGAACAUGGGUGAUAAGGUCCGUGUUCGAAAGGGAAACAGCCCAGACCACCAGCUAAGGUCCCAAAAUAUAUGUUAAGUGGAAAAGGAUGUGGCGUUGCCCAGACAACUAGGAUGUUGGCUUAGAAGCAGCCAUCAUUUAAAGAGUGCGUAAUAGCUCACUAGUCGAGUGACACUGCGCCGAAAAUGUACCGGGGCUAAACAUAUUACCGAAGCUGUGGAUUGUCCUUUGGACAAUGGUAGGAGAGCGUUCUAAGGGCGUUGAAGCA
rnacentral:rRNA from 1 species